GACGGAGGAUGCAAGCGUUAUCCGGAAUGAUUGGGCGUAAAGCGUCCGCAGGUGGCAGUUCAAGUCUGCUGUCAAAGACCGGGGCUUAACUUCGGAAAGGCAGUGGAAACUGAACAGCUAGAGUAUGGUAGGGGCAGAGGGAAUUCCUGGUGUAGCGGUGAAAUGCGUAGAUAUCAAGAGGAACACCUGAGGUGAAGACGGGUUGCUGGGCUGACACUGACGCUGAGGCGCGAAAGCCAGGGGAGCAAACGGG
rnacentral:rRNA from 1 species